GUGUGUUAAAGUGGUAAGGAAUAGGAGCUUACUGCAAGCACAUUCGAAAGCAUGGUGUAAAGGGCGUAAACCAUGUUUUUUUUUAUGGAGUAAGCCAUGAAGCAAGAGCAAUUACGAUUUUGUCGCAAACCAUUUGACCCUGAACUAAUUUGUUGCUAGCAAUUUUUUAAUUUGUUUUAUAUUUCGUUUACAUUUUCUUACGUAUUCGGAUUGCUUUGAUUAACGGCUCGAACAGUUGAUAUUUCAGGAUAAUAAGAGGCCAUAUGCCGCUUCUCGAUAAAUUCCCAAGUGAAAAACAAAGAUCGGAAACUUACCAUGCAAAAACAGGCAUAGUCUACAUUAUGCCUGCCUUAGGUGUUGUCUGUGCUCAAUGAUAACAUAAUGAAUGACUAGUGGUGUUGGGAUGUUGAUGGACCGAAAUGAAACCAAUUCGUGCCUGUAAUGAAACCUGUCAGUGACCUGCAAUCCUGGUCAUUCUGGUUGCUACAUAUAGGGCCGAGUUUCACCCAGCUCAAAACUUCCUGUGACCAGUUUAUGGGAUAUUUCAAAGCAUUUUUUCUGCCAAGUACAGCAUUGCGUGGCAAAAAUGAUACAUGGCGAUUGUUCAUUAGGUGUCGAAAACGGUAGUUAUGUGGAAAUUGAACAUCUAUCAGUGAAAGGGAAAUCAUGGUGUGAGAACAAAUUUACCGUUUUCGCACAUCUUUGGAAUAUGCGGUACUUGGGGUUUUCUGCUACCAUCCAAAAUCUCAUCGGACAUGUGACAUGCGAUGAAAAGGCACUGUUUAAGGGCAACGUCUGCGGGGAACGCUUAAAUAAUUUUGAUAAAGUCGUCCUCCAGGUUACAGGAAAAGAUGUACUUCAAUACAUAUCAUCAUUCGAAGAAGCCGGCCUGCGCCAACUACUACUUCAAAACAUAAAGAAUUCUGACUACAUAAAGCCAACACCUGUUCAGAAAGCUUCAGUUGCAGUUAUUCUUGCCAAAAGAGAUGUAAUUGCUUGUCCUGUUACGGGCUCCGGCAAAACGGCAAUCCAAUUAAUUAACGCUGUGUAGUUUUGAAACCUUGAUGCCCUCGUACUGAUUUGAUUCGAAUGGGUCGGUAUGAACUGGGCGGCGUACUUGGUACCGGUUUUGAACAUUGUUAGAACAAGGUGUUGCUGCUGCGUCUCAUGCCAUGGAGCAAAAGCCAGAAGUUGUAAUUGUCGCACCCACUCGUGAAUUGACCAUUCUAAUUCACCGCGAGGCGUGUAAAUUCUCCUACAGUUCGGUUUUAAAGCCUGUGAUUAUACGGUAUAUGGAAGAAUUGUCACGAGGUAUCAGCGGUCAAAUCUUCAAGCUGGGUGUAAUAUUGUUGUCGCGACCGCGGUGCGAUUCAACGAUUUCCUCGACCGUGGAGUAUUUGUCUUCAAAAAGAUUGUCGUUCAAGCUGUUUCUCCGAUGUAUAAGAAGAGGGUCAUACACAUUCGUCCAUAUUGCAACCAAUCAACGGUGGCGUCUGGUUGACUUAAACGUUAACCACUACUAUUGAUUAAAAUGAAAGAAACUGGCUCACAACGAAGCAAGGCAGGAGUUCCUAUGUUUACUCUGAGUUCCUAUGUUUACUCUGAGUUCCGUGCAUCUACCAUUGGUCGUUUUUACGAUUAUGCUCCUGAUAACGAAUGCCGUAUUUUCAAAAAACCUAUUUGACUGGUCGACACUUCAAUUUUUUAUUUUUUGAUCAACCACCUUUCGAUAUUUAAAAGCGAGGACUGAAUGGCACCUACACUUGGAUUGGAUCGGACUGUUAUUUGGUCGAAUGGUUAGCAGCAAAAUUAAACUUUACGUAUUCGUUCGUGCUAAUUAAUCAAACUAUUGCGAAUAUGUACGGGACGAAUGAGGGUUUGUUUUAUCAACUCAUAAAUGAUGAGG